ACACUAGGCUCAGUCUCCAGUUCAAAAAGCUCUGCACCUUCAUCAGUUUUCCCUGAGAGCACCGAGCAGCUGGCGGAUACAGCUCAGCCCACUUCAAAACCUUUAUCCACACCAGUCCCACUAACCUCCACAACACCAACCACAUUGGGCUCAAGCUCCAGUUCAGGAAGCUCCACAGGUUCAUCGGUUUCCCCUGAGAGCAGCGAGCAGCCUGCAGGUGCAGCUCAAACCACUUCAAAACCUUCAUCAACACCAGUCCCACCAACCUCCACACCAGCACCAACACAGGGUUUAAGCUCCAGUUUGGGAUCAUCCACACCUUCAUCUGUUUCCCCUGAAGUCACUGCCCAACCGACAGCCUUCUCCUAUGCCCCUUGGCCAGGUUACUUCUUCCCUCUGGUUGCAUGUGUGACCCCAGUGGGUGUGUUCCUGUUGGCUGCUUUUCUGUGGCUCCUCUACAAAAGGAAGACAAGGAGCAAACAACAGACUUAGUGAGAUGCAGCCACUCAGUAUUGUGCACGCCAGCUGUGAACCUUCCAGGUGCCCCCCUUCCCCUGUUGCCUGAAGGCGUGUCUAGAUUCCACAAUAAAUACAUCCAUUCAUGAGCCAUUCCUUGAUUUGCCCAGUGUCACCAUUAGAUGGCGUGUGACUGCCUGAAGGACAAUACUCACACUGCAGAGUCCUGGU